GGAAGGCAGCAGGCGCGCAAAUUACCCAAUCCCGAUCCGGGGAGGUAGUGACAAUAAAUACUGAUACGGGGCUCUUUCGGGUCUCGUAAUUGGAAUGAGUACAAUCUAAAUCCCUUAACGAGGAACAAUUGGAGGGCAAGUCUGGUGCCAGCAGCCGCGGUAAUUCCAGCUCCAAUAGCGUAUAUUAAAGUUGUUGCCGUUAAAAAGCUCGUAGUUGAACCUUGGACCUGGCUGAUCUGUCCUCCUAAUCGAGCGCACGGAUUCGGUCGGGUCUUUCCUUCUGGGGAGCCCUAUGCCCUUCACUGGGUGUAGUGGGGAACCAGGACUUUUACCUUGAAAAAAUUAGAGUGUUCAAAGCAGGCCUUUGCUCGAAUACAUUAGCAUGGAAUAAUAGAAUAGGACAUCGGUUCUAUUUUGUUGGUUUCUAGGACCGCUGUAAUGAUUAAUAGGGAUAGUCGGGGGCGUCAGUAUUCAAUUGUCAGAGGUGAAAUUCUUGGAUUUAUUGAAGACUAACUACUGCGAAAGCAUUCGCCAAGGAUGUUUUCAUUAAUCAGUGAACGAAAGUUAGGGGAUCGAAGACGAUCAGAUACCGUCGUAGUCUUAACCAUAAACUAUGCCGACUAGGGAUCGGACGGUGGUUUUUUUAUGCCCCGUUCGGCACCUUACGAGAAAUCAAAGUUUUUGGGC
rnacentral:rRNA from 1 species